CAUUUAGGGACGACAUCAAAAAAUCAAUGAAGGAUAAAAAACUUAAUUCAAAUAGUUAGGGGUGGGGGGGGGGUCAAAUUGCUGCAAGUUUUGUAUAAAUUGACAUCGAUUUUACAUAUAUCCUUAUUGGUCAAUCAAUUUUUCCCAAAUUAAGUUAAGAAGGGGGGGGGGGGGGUAGGGGGGUCAGUGAAAAAACUAUAUAAAUUAAGUGUUUUAUCCUUCAUUGAACUUUUGAUGUCGUCCCUUAUGAAGAUAUGCUUGCAUGAACUGUUCUGACAUGUUUGUUUAUUUACACAACCAAUGUCAAGAAUAACAGGUAUGAUACGUUACCGUUAGGUGUUUUU
rnacentral:lncRNA from 1 species